rnacentral:rRNA from 1 species
UACGGAGGGUGCGAGCGUUGUCCGGAAUCAUUGGGCGUAAAGGGCGCGUAGGUGGCCCGGUCAGUCCGUGGUGAAAGCGCGGGGCUCAACCCUGCGUCGGCCAUGGAUACUGCCGCGGCUCGAGCACUGUAGAGGCAGGCGGAAUUCCGGGUGUAGCGGUGGAAUGCGUAGAGAUCGGGAAGAAUACCCGUGGCGAAGGCGGCCGACUGGGCCGUCUCCGACGCUGAUGCGCGAAAGCGUGGGGAGCAAACAGG